GAUGAACGCUGGCGGCGUGCCUAAUACAUGCCAGUCGAGCGAACGGACGAGAAGCUUGCUUCUCUGAUGUUAGCGGCGGACGGGUGAGUAACACGUGGAUAACCUACCUAUAAGACUGGGAUAAAUUCGGGAAACCGGAGCUAAUACCGGAUAAUAUUUUGAACCGCAUGGUUCAAAAGAGAAAGACGGUCUUGCUGUUUCUUAUUGCUGGAUCCGCGCUGCAUUAGCUAGUGGGUAAGGUAACGGCUUAACAAGGCAACGAUGCAUAGCCGACCUGAGAGGGGGACCGGCCACACUGGACCUGGGACACGGCCCAGACUCCUACGGGAGGCAGCAGUAGGGAAUCUUCCGCAAUGGGCGAAAGCCUGACGGAGCAACGCCGCGUGAGUGAGGAAGGUCUUCGGAUCGUAAACCUCUGUUAUUAGGGAAGAACAGAUGUGUAAGUAAAUGUGCACAUCUUGACGGUACCUAAUCAGAAAGCCACGGCUAACUACGUG
rnacentral:rRNA from 1 species